UACGGGGGGGGUAAGCGUUGUUCGGAAUUACUGGGCGUAAAGGGCUCGUAGGCGGCCAACUAAGUCAGACGUGAAAUCCCUCAGCUUAACUGGGGAACUGCGUCUGAUACUGGAUGGCUUGGAUUCGGGAGAGGAAUGCGGAAUUCCAGGUGUAGCGGUGAAAUGCGUAGAUAUCUGGAGGAACACCGGUGGCGAAGGCGGGUCUCUGGGGCAUAACUGACGCUGAGGAGCGAAAGCAUGGGGAGCGAACAGG
rnacentral:rRNA from 1 species